CCGUAUAAUAUUGGAAGAGUCAACUCGAACGCUUAUAGCUGAUCUGAACUGAACUGCACGAGGCAUUGUAAAAUGUGCACACAAGAUUUUUGUAUUUCUUGAAAUGACAUAUUAUCUUCUAUUAUUAUUGUCAUAAAUGAUAUAGUUAUUGUUGUCAUAAAUUGUUGUCAUAAAUAGUAUAAUUAUUGAAUAUACUUAUAUAAAUAGUGUUGCAUUGAUUUUUGACAGGCUGAUAAUUUUAUACAAGCUAAAGACGACCAUUUUUUAAAUAUAAUUUUACUUUAGUGCUCUACCAACAAUCAUAAAUUUACUUUAUCUACAAUAAAAUAUGGUUUUAACUUAAAGUAAACUUUUGUCAUUUAAACUUUACUAUGUUGAUCAUUACCUAAUAGUGUAAAAAAAAAGUUAGUACGUCGCAAUCAAGGUUAGAAUAAUAUUUUUUUCUAUUCUGUUGCUGUUUGUUUUCUGCAAACAUUAAAUACUUUUUAGUUUUCAGGUUUUUUAGUUUUUCUAUACAUUGCAAAUUAGUUUCUAUGUUAUUGUUAAUAAAUUUCUUUAUUCUAUUUAGAAACAUUAGAAAAAUCAAAUGUUAAGCAAAGUGCCAUUAUAAUACAUUUCUGUUUUAUUAUGUCAGUUAAAAAAAAAAUUUUUUUUUUUAAUUUUUUUUUUUUUUUGCUUUCACAGGAUCAGUGUCGAGUAAUGUGUUUUGCAUACUUAUGUAUUUUUUGGGUGUUCUGUGUAUUAAAACUGAAACAUAUCAUCUUUAUAUAAUAAUACGGAACUCAAUAGUAGUAGUUCCCUUUCGAGCACGUUUGACACAAAACCCAACGCAGCCAUUGCAACCGAGGUACUGGCGAGGAAGAGUCGCAGCACCUUUUUAUAAGAAAACAUUAACGAAAGUGUGUGCUAAUAAAUAACUUACGCAAACUUCAAAAUGCGAAAUGUCAAAACAUACUAAAACAUGUAUCAAGUUUUUAAGUUUUACUUUCACUUGAAAACUGCAUUGCGGCAACAUCUUAAUUUUGAUCGAUGGCCGUUUUAUAAAGACUCUUAUUUACUAUAUAUUUUUAAAAUUUGUUCAAUCGUUCAAUCCUACCUAUGGCAUGUUUUCUUUUUAAAUUCAUUUUCGAUUUUUCUAAAGUACGAAAUAAAAAUUAUGUAUAGAGAUUAUAUAUUUAACAAAUGUAAAAAUAUUUUACACUUAAACAAACGAAAGGAAGAGAAUUUUUAAAGAAAGCUUAAAAGUUCUAAAAACAUCAAAAAACAGGAGAAAUUUGUUGCGCUUAAUUGUCAUGUUAUUUUAGUUUUACAUUUACAUUUCUCCAACUAAGUUGAGUUCGCGCAAGGAAAAUGAGUAUAUAACAUGUGUAUAUAUAGAAUAUAAAAUCUAUAAAGUGCAUUUAACAAAAAAAGCAAGCUGAUGAUUUGAACUUGCCACGCGGCGACCUGAAUAUUUAAAACA